rnacentral:rRNA from 1 species
GACGAACGCUGGCGGCGUGCUUAACACAUGCAAGUCGAACGGAAAGGCCCUGCUUUUGUGGGGUGCUCGUGUGGCGAACGUGUGAGUAACACGUGAGUAACCUGCCCUUGACUUUGGUAUAACUUCAGGAAUCUGUGGCUAAUCCCGGAUAGGAGCUCCUGCUGCUUGUUGUUGGUUGGAUAGUUUCGGCGGUUGGGGAUGGACUCGCGGCUUAUCAGCUUGUUGGUGGGGUAGUGGCUUACCAAGGCUUUGACGGGUAGCCGGCCUGAGAGGGUGACCGGCCACAUUGGGACUGAGAUACGGCCCAGACUCCUACGGGAGGCAGCAGUGGGGAAUAUUGCACAAUGGGCGGAAGCCUGAUGCAGCAACGCCGCGUGCGGGAUGACGGCCUUCGGGUUGUAAACCGCUUUCGCCUGUGACGAAGCGUGAGUGAAGGUAAUGGGUAAAGAAGCAACGGCUAAAUAAGUG